UAAUGGAUUUAGAUUUCCUUUGAGAAAGCCUGUAUAUAAAAAGUUAACAGAUAUAUUUUAUGGAAAAAAAAACCCAUCUUAUUUUCAAAUAUAUUUAACUGCUGUUAUAUUUUAUUAGAGGAAGGUUGUAAAUAUUUUCUAGGAGUUCUAUUGUAAAGAAAAGUAUUUUUGAAAAAAAUUAAUGUAAUAAAAAGGAAAACGUUUUUACAUAGUGGCUGUGCCUGCUUCCUGCUGUGCUUUGGUUCGGCCGUGUUCUCGGCCAGUGACUGCAUGCCUUCAGAUCAGGAUGUGACUCAGAUUUGCACUAUUCUAAGUUAGCAUCGUCGUUUCUAAUGUGCUUAACUGUACGUUUCCGGAAUGCGGCUCCCUCCCUCUGCACCGGCAAGUGCUGUGUGGAGUCUUCUCAUGUAUUUUUAAUGCGUGUAUUUUUAAUAAGGAUUUUAUGUAACAUUUUGGCAAAAAAAAAAAAAGAAAAAAGAAAAGAGAAGAGGACAGUAUUUUCUAGUGAAUUUUAUAAUAACAUUUUGCUAAAAAAUGUUUCUUCCUAGGUCAGUUUUUUGUUAAGGUGAAUCAAACGUCUUAUUUUCCAGGGGUUUUAAAAAAGAAAAAGAAAAAAAAAAGUUUGAAGCUGGAAAGCAACAUUCUAUUUAAACACCACAUGUAACAAAUGAAUAAAGAUGUUUUGUAGACC
rnacentral:lncRNA from 1 species